GAUGGACGUGAGUUUGAGUGAACUCCAGGAGUUGGUAAUAGACAGGGAGGCCUGGCGUGCUGUGGUUCAUGGGGUUGCAAAGAGUCAGACACAACUGAGCGACUGAACUGAACAGAACUGAACAGAAUGGCAUGGUUCUUGAAAGACUGGCAAAACUUGGCAUCCAUUCAUUUGACAAAUAUACAUGGGUAACCACCUGCACACGCCUGGUCCUUGUGGGUUCCUUUCCUAGCCUCUUUUUGAGAUCCAAACCAACUCGAUUCCUUUGGGAUCUACAAAAUACUCUGGUAAAGUCAAGUCUUUAAGGUAAAGUCCUCAUUUUUCCUUAGCUAGUUUUAGAGGAUUUCUGUUCCUGGUAAACAAAUGAUCUCAGACCAAGACAGAGCUGAAAAUGAGGUAGAGUUUUGACUAUGUUUCCUUCACUUGGAAUAGAAUAGAAUCCUUGCCAUUUACUGCUUUAUACACAUAUGAGUAAAGAACAGCUUUGUUGAAGACAGCCUACCAUAAAAGUUAUUUAGAUUUCCAGAAAAAAAAUUAGGAAAAAGGUAUUUACAUCAUUGAAUUAUGUUGGGGAAAAUAUUUUCCCCAACUCAGUAGAGUUAGGUAUCUUAAAUAUUCUAAAAGAAUAGAUUCUUUUAGAAUUCUAAAUUAAUACUAUAGUAUUAAUAGAAUAGAAUAGUAUUAUAGAAUAAUACUAUUUAGUACUAUAAUUAAUAUAGAAUAAUACUAUUUAAUACUAUAAUACUAUAGUAUUAUUAUAAUACAAAUAAUUAUAGAAUAGCAUUAAUAUUGGGACCACCUGCAGGCUAAUACUGGCAUUUGCUUCAUUGAACAUAUUUCUAAAAGGUCUAGAUGGCAGAGUGCACAAACAUCCAGGUGUGAAACGUUACCAAAUUCUUUCAGGUAGUGAAAUGUGAAACAGGCAGUAUGGUCACGCCUGGGUGAGCUGUUAACUCACUCAGUACACUCAGGUGACAGAAUCUUGCAUUUUAUACCUGCUGUUAGUACACUGCAGUGGAUAAUAGCUCAGGGUUUGGCAACACACAGAUUGGAGUUUGACUCAUAAUUCCACCCUUUAUUGUGCUUUAAGAGGGCUUGACACCCAACAGCCCAUUGACUCUAAGUCUCAGUUUCCUCAUCUAUAGAUUGGAAAUAGUAAGGUUAAUGUGUGGAAUCUGUGAGCUCAUGCAUCAGAGCAGUUAUUGAGUUAUUUUGUACAUAGUCAAUUUCCAAUAAAUGCCCUUGUCAUUA